UCCCUGGCACUCCAGUGGUUAGGAUUGGACACUUUCACUGCUGUGGCCCAGGUUCAAUCCCUGGUCAGGGAA
rnacentral:tRNA from 1 species